rnacentral:lncRNA from 1 species
AUAUAUACAUUUUUCCUUUCCCUUAUUAAUGUCUUAUAACAUGUAUUUGAUUUGUAGACACUAUUUUUCAUUAUAUUAUUCUUUCUAUAGUUAAUUUUACAGAUCAAGAAUGGAUGCAUAUGGAAUAAAUGUAUACGGCUGAAAGAGAAGAAUUAUAAAUCUGGGUCUCGUUCUUUACCAUGGACAUUUCUCAUUGUUCAUAUCAUAGCAAUUUAUUUUUUUAUUUUAUUUUAUUUUUUUAAUAUCAUAGCAAUUGUAAUAGUAUGAUGGAGAGUUAUGUUGUGGAGUCAUUUUGUGAGACCAUGCUUCUCUCGAUUAUCAAUUAUUCUUUGUUUUUCUUCACUAUCAUGAUUAAUAUAUUUACCAGGUAUCUGCUUCUAUAUAU